GAUGGACGCUAGCUACAGGCUUAACACAUGCAAGUCGCGGGGCAGCAUGGGGGUUGCUUGCAAUCCCCGAUGGCGACCGGCGCACGGGUGAGUAACGCGUAUCCAACCUGCCCUUCACCACGGGAUAACCCGGCGAAAGUCGGACUAAUACCGUAUGUUGUCCAUUGACGGCAUCCGAUUUGGACGAAAGGUUUGGCGGUGAAGGAGGGGGAUGCGUCCGAUUAGCUGGACGGCGGGGUGACGGCCCACCGUGGCGACGAUCGGUAGGGGUUCUGAGAGGAAGGUCCCCCACACUGGAACUGAGACACGGUCCAGACUCCUACGGGAGGCAGCAGUGAGGAAUAUUGGUCAAUGGGCGUAAGCCUGAACCAGCCAAGUAGCGUGCAGGAUGACGGCCCUAUGGGUUGUAAACUGCUUUUAUGCGGGGAUAAAGUGGCCCACGUGUGGGUUUUUGCAGGUACCGCAUGAAUAAGGACCGGCUAAUUCCGUG
rnacentral:rRNA from 1 species